UAACCUGAGAUUCUGAGUAUUUACCAGGAGAUUGAAGACUUGCUGGUUUUCUAAUUACAACAGGUACUCCGGAAUUGUGUCCCUAGAAGGUGAUACAGCAGCAUUCAGAGAAACUGGACUUAACGUUCAUUAAAGAAGAGCUUGAACCAGAUACAAAAGGCGGAAACCUCAACUCAGUUGCUGAACCCACCAAAUUCACUUUGAGGAUGAAAAGGAGGCUUCCAGGAUCACAAGAGUAUCCUGCUUCUUCUGGAAGCCUUCAGUGACCCAGGACUUGAAACCCUCCCCUUCAAUCCCUUACCAGCUGGGUCUAUUCAGAUACAGCCUGCAGAGGUAAGUUGUAUGUGGUCUCUUGAACUCC
rnacentral:lncRNA from 1 species